CUCGCGCUCCCCGCUCGAUCUCGGCUCCCCGCACACACCGCCGCAAAGGCGCGCUCUGUCGUAAAAGGAGCGCGCUUCCGCUUCGCCGGGGUUUCUCGAGCGGACCGGCAGGGGCGCCGGCCGCGGAGGGUGGUAUUGCGCUCGGAUUGCGGAAGGCGCCUGUGUUGAAACCAGCGACGGAAUGCUGUCGCGGACGGCUUAGUUAGAUAACGAGUCACUCCCUAGAUGUAGUUAGUUCGGAAUGGGCGAGUGAGGCUGUGUCGGACCGGUCGGUUAGGUAACUUUUGCGAUAACCAGUGGUGGUAUUUUUCCAAUGCCUCCCGCAGGUAGUACGAUACACCAGGAGCAAUCUCUCUGUUCCGAACUUUGUCAUGGGAAGAGAAUACAGGGGAAAAAUACUUCAAGGAUGUGCUCUUCCAUGUCCUUGAUGAAGGAUUUGGGCGCGAAACGUCGACUGUUUUAUUCCUCUCCAUUGGUACUGCCUGACCCGCUGAGUUCCUCCAGCAUUCUGUGUGUGUUGCUCUGGAUUUCCAGCAUCUGCAGACUAUUUUGUGUCAAGGAUGUGCUCAAAGCCUUGCAGAAAUUAUACAUCCCUGCUGACCCCUGGGAGCCUCAGACCCACGAUUGCUCAAAGUGGAUAAGGACGUUCGGAGAAUCUUAAGGCGGUACAUUGAGAAUGCACCGAGGUCCAUCUUAGGUGAUGGAAGGAAGUAGCAGAAGGCAGUACCAUCUCAAAGCCUGUCCCGUCUGUAUUCCCACUUCGCUACCUCUCGAUGCAAGUCAUGCUGGGUCCCGAGGGAGUGCCUGAUAUCUCGUGAGGCCAACGUGAGAGUAUCCUUCAGAAGGGGGAACCCACAGAAAGCAUCUGGCCCAGAUGAGGUACCUGGCCAAGUUCUGAAGACCUGUGCUGAUCAACUGGUUGGAGUGUUCACUGAUAUCCUUAGCUUUUUGUUUCAGCAGUCUAAGGAACCCACCUGUUCUUCGAGAAGAACAUGGUAACCUGCUUCAAUGACUAGAGACCAGUAACACUGUUUUGCAUCCACUGUGAUGAAGUGCUUUGAGAGGUUGUUGAUGAAAUGUAACUGCUGCCUGAGGAGUGACUUGGAUUCACUCCAAUUUGCCUACUGACACAACAGGGCAACAGCAGAUGCCAUUUCACUGGCUCUUCACUCAACCAUGGACAGUGAAGAUGCAUACAUCAGGAUUCUCUUAAUUGACUACAGCUCUGCAUUCAGUACCACCAUAACUUAUGGUGGUUAUAACUUAUAAGCUCAAAACUUAUAAGCUCCAAGACCUAGGCCUCAAUACCUCUUUGUGCAAAUUAAUCCUCUAUUUCUUCACUUGCAGAUUCCAGUUGGUUUGGAUUGGCAACAAUAUCUCCUCCACAAUCACCAUCAGCACAGGUGCACCACAGAGUUGUGUGCUGAGCUCAUUGCUCUCUCACUUAACACUUACGACAGUAGCUAAGCACAGGUCCAAUGCGAUAUUUAAGUUUGCUGAUGACACCACUGUCCUUGGCCAAAUUCAAGGUGGAGACGAAUCAGCACAAAGAAGGGUGAAACCAAAGAGUUGGUUAUUGAAUAUAGGAGGAGGAAACCAGUGGUCCAUGAGUCAGUCAUCGUUAGGGGAUCAGAAGUGGAGUGGGUGUGGACUCUAUUAGGAUAAGUCAUGCGAUGCUUGAGCUCAACAACGUUUUUAAUGCUUUGUUUCUCCUGUGAACGGAGCUCCUCUGGAAGAAGAAACAUGCUGUGGGAGGUUUGAAAUAUGCAGGAGUGCUUUGCCUGUGCUGGGAAAAUGGGUCAUUGUUUACAGACCCUGCAUUGAAAACGUAUACACUGCAUUAUGCAGCACAGUUUCUAGUAGUAUUUGUAUAUAAGAAAAAUGUUAAGCUUUUCCAUUAUACCAUGAUGAAUCCACUUGAGAACAGGGAAGUGCAUUUUAAAGAAUGUUGUUAAUCACUACCAUGGUCUCCCAAAAGAAUAACACUGAACCUUUGCUGUUUGACUUUUUACAACUGGGCUCCAGUUAUAUGCAUCUCCAUUCAUAUUGUCUCUAUUUUGUAAAUCAUUCCAUCAAGCCAAUAAAAAUGACUUUGUUGUUAAACUUUGAAUUUGUUUCUACUGUGCUAUCUGCUGGUGUACAAGGAAUAUUUGUUUGCACACCUCUCCGUAGUUAGUUAU